rnacentral:lncRNA from 1 species
UAUAGAAUCAAACUGUUCUUAAAAUUCUACUCAUGAAACAUAAAAAAUUAAUUAUUGAGCAUCUCAUGUAUAAUAAUUAAUAAUAACAAGUGUUUUCACUUUAAAGGCAUCUUUUGUAUGUUUCUAUUUUCAUUAGGCAACCUUCAAAUGUUUAUUUUAUGUAUUGAAUUUCCCUACGUUUAAUUAAGGAUUUGGCCUUAGUUCACAAUUAUUUUCCAACACAAAUUUUAUAAAUGAAUGCCUUGUGAAUCCAUAUGGCAUAAAUCAAGCUUUCUGGAUCCUAAUCACUUUAAGUGAUCACAUGUAAUAUUCUGCGUAUGGACCUGUAAUACCAAGACCAGACUCCGAAAGCAUGAGGGAAACAGUAAUUCAGGAUAGCUUAAAAAUCCUGACUGCCUCAUCAGUGCAUUAGGGAUUCUGCAGUUGUACUGAAACACACUUGUUGGUAGUUCCUUUGCUUGUCUCACAGUCCCUAUGAAGAGAUCUGACAUUGAUUUAGGGUAGGUUUCACAAUGUGCAUAUUAACUGAAACAUAGUGACUUUUAAUGAGUAGGUUACAUAAUUAGAUUCAAAUCCGGGAGGCUGGACUAUGAAGAUAGAGCAAGAGAGAACACAAGCAUGUACCUUGAGGUAAAAUCUUAUACUCCUCCUGAGAGUUAAUUUCAGAGGAAUGUGAUUCUUCUAAGGGCCAGGUGAACACUUUGCAUUAUAAAAUCAAAAGUUCAAGCCUGUAAUUAGGUCUGUUAUGUUUUCAUCAAUAUCCUAAAGGCAAAGAGGUUUCUUUCUUUUCGGAAAGAAAAUUUCAUCAUUUUACAAUUAGAAUUCUUUUGUUACUAAUUCAUAAUAACAUUACAAUUUUCUAAAUAUUGCUAUUUCCAUGUGCAUUUUUUCCUUUGAGCAAUCUGUAACUGUUGAUACAGACAUUGGUCCAUAUAAAGCAAAGCAGCUAUCAUUAUUACAGUAAGAUAAAUUAAGUAACUAAAUAACAUGACUAUGAGAGCAAUUUAUUUGCAUGAAAGUAAACCCUUUAGAGUACCUCCUUUUGAGUACAUUACCAUCCUCAGAUAAUCCAGACAAACUAAUGUUUCAAGUUCUUUGUGGAAAUCAAAGACCAGUCUUGAGACACCAGGUUCCCAUACAAGGCAUGAAUCCAGUUGUUUUUUCUUUUCCCGUGGAAGCAUUAUGAGGAAUCAGCAAAUCUGAAAGGUUCUUCCCAGGGCAAUGGAUAUCUGCCUUUUUCUUCAGAACACCUUUAUAUAGAUUAAAUCUCCUGGUGACAAAUUUCUUUAAGAAAAAUAAGAACUUUCUGGAUCCUUAUUCUGCAGUUAAGGAUGUUUUUGGCCCUUAUGACUUUUUUUCUUAGGUUUUUUGAUUCUGAAGGCAAUGCUGAAAUUCCCCAAGCUCACAGUGCAG